CCGACGGGUGAGUAACACGUAUGCAAUCCACCUGUAACAGGGGGAUAACCCGGAGAAAUCCGGACUAAUACCCAUAAUAUGGGCGCUCCGCAUGGAGAGUUCAUUAAAGAGAGCAAUUUUGGUUACAGACGAGCAUGCGCUCCAUUAGCCAGUUGGCGGGGUAACGGCCCACCAAGGCGACGAUGGAUAGGGGUUCUGAGAGGAAGGUCCCCCACAUUGGAACUGAGACACGGUCCAA
rnacentral:rRNA from 1 species